UCUAGGUCACGCCCACAAUGACCCGCCUCUUGGGGACCCAACAUCCUAACAGCAAGUCAAUUCUAACCCCCAAGUCCAAUCAUCUUCCAAACACAUGAGGCCCUGGGGUCAUGUUAGAUGUAAGCUAUACCAAGAGGAGUUUUCAAUAAUGGACAUAGACCCAAGCUCAGGCGCGAGAACCAACCUACGGCUUCAGACAGACUUUACAACGUAGGUUCAUGUCCUGCACAAGAUGACCCUGGACUUACUGUGGGACCAUUUUAAUAAACCCAUCAUAAGUUGAAAAUAUUACCAAGAAAACAUGAACCGAGGCGACACACAUCAACCUUGGUAGAAGGAUUUAAGGACAAGUGUUUGAUUUUCUAUGCUUCCUGCUCUGGUGAUUGGAGUGCAGUAAAUUGAUAUAGCAAUGCCAGAAGAAAUCUAACACAAGUGGGUGGCAGUCUUGGAAGCCAAAUCAAUUAUAAUAAGAAAAAGGAAGAGG